GCGCUAGUUUGCGGGACAGCUUGGGCAUUGUAGGCUCAGAACCUACCCAGUCACGGCAGCCCUCCCAAAUCAGACCUCCGGGUCACCUGCAGAACUGAUUAAAAGAUUACGAGUGUAUCCUUUAACGACUGUGAUUCAGCAGCUCUGUAUUUAUGCCUGGCAGCCUGUGCUUUUGACAGUCGCUCCAUUCCCACGAUCCCCUUAAAUAAUGUGAUCUGGGAGAUUUGGUUAACAAUGGGUUAAUCUUAUUGUUUUGACAAAAUUAAUUUUUACUUUUUGUGUGGCAGGGAGGGGCGGUGGAGCGUGCGACAGCACAUAUGUGGAGGUCAGAGGACUACUUGGGACACACUGGUCUCUCCUGUGAUGUAAGUGGUGGGAUCGAACACGUAUCCUCCAGCUCAGUGGCAAGUGCCUAUACCCUCUCAAGCUCUCUAACCUGCCUACUAAUCAAACUUCUGUUCAAAAGUUUGUACCCUUCUGCCUGAUUAAUAGCAAUGCAGAUUCAUUUUACGAACUCGUAAAAUAACAAGAAGAAAAUAAAAACUGCUGUUAAGUCUUUUUUGCA
rnacentral:lncRNA from 1 species